GAAGAAGCAAAGUGAUGAGCAAUACUUGCUUGAGCCAAAGUGAGUGAGUUGAGUGUAUGUGUAGUUGUGUGGUGGUUGAGAGAAUGGUGUGCCUUAUAACUGGGCAAUGAUAGCUAAACUGAUAAGAUCUGAUUGCUUC
rnacentral:snoRNA from 1 species